AUUGAACGCUGGCGGCAGGCCUAACACAUGCAAGUCGAACGAGUGGCGGACGGGUGAGUAAUGUCUGGGAAACUGCCCGAUGGCGGGGGAUAACUACUGGAAACGGUAGCUAAUACCGCAUACCAUCGGAUGUGCCCAGAUGGGAUUAGCUCGUGGGUGGGGUAACGGCUCACCUAGGCGACGAUCCCUAACUGGUCUGAGAGGAUGACCAGCCACACUGGAACUGAGACACGGUCCAGACUCCUACGGGAGGCAGAAGUGGGGAAUAUUGCACAAUGGGCGAAAGACUGAUGCAGCCAGGACGCGUGUAUGAAGAAGGCCGUCGGGUUGUAAAGUACUUUCAGCGAGGAGGCGUUACUCGCAGAAGAAGCACCGGCUAACUCCGUGCCAGCAGCCGAGGUAAUAA
rnacentral:rRNA from 1 species